AAUGGUGCUCUCACAAAUGUAAGUUUUUCUUUGUCCUCAGAAGCUUUCUAUUUUUGUUUACUUCCCUUUGCUUUCCCUUUUUAAAGAUCUUGUUGAGCAGUACGGAGUGUCUAUUACCACUAUGAAGCCGAAAAAUCAUCUCAAGUUCGAGAUAAAUUUAAUUUUAGAUAACCAAAAUAAAUAAAGGUGAAUAAAAUCUUUUUAUUCGUGUGGGAACACUGUAAAAUGAAAUCUAGUAUACAUAAGAAUUAAAAUAAUCUGCUCCACAAAAUCUUGUUCUUUCCGUUUUCAGUGAGUUUAGAGUUAUGCACAUGUUCACUAUUGAAUUCAAAGGUGUACAAUACACAAGGUUUGUUUCCUAUCUAUCAAAAAUAUAUAAAAGUUUGCCUCCCAAUAACUUUACUACCUAAAAGCAUCAGCACAAUUCAAGUUUUUAUUAAUGAUUAUUGGAUAUCAACUUAGCAAUUUUUUUUUCUUUGUCAGGAUUUUGGUAACAGUAUAUGUAAGCUGUUACCGCUCUAGCUCAGUUUGUACCAGGAAAGUUCUGCUGCAAUUCUCUAUUGAAUAGACCGUUGCUAGAAUGUGGUCUGACAGCAAAGUGUAAGUGAAUAAACAUAGUUUCGCAGUUUUGUCUCUGACUGUAAACGUUAAGUUUAGAAUGAUGUAUAUCUUUGAUAUUAAUGACGUUUAAUAUUCUUUUCAGAAUAUAAAUUAUGUUGUGCUUAUCAUCAGACUUGCUGCAAAUGGGACGUACAACUCUGAUGGAACCCAAAGGUACAUGAUAAAAAAGUUGUUUAAGUAACACACAAGAGAGAUAUUGACAUUAUGGUCAUAGAUCAUACGGAAAGAUAUUAUUUUUCAUUGUUAGGAUUUUGACUAGGCUCAGUGCUCAUUUGGGAAGUGAAAAGUUUCGAAGGUCUCUUUGUUCAAGUCAAGAAGUGAAAGCUAUUGAACUAUGUAUGUAAUAGCUUGUAUUGUUUACUUUGGGUCCUAGGCUCCCUCGACUUUAAAAUGCCUCAUUUGGGUCUAAUGUCACUUCUUUUUAUUCCAACAAUCAAUAUCUUUCUUGCGUUUUGUUGAUGUGGUAUAUGCCUAGGAUGCUACAAUGUUGUUCUUUUUACUCUGGAUACCAAGACGGAAAGCAAGAGACGACACAAUUAUUGAACUUUCUGUAUUGAGAAAUCGGAAUUUCUGGACGCAAAUGGUUAGAGAAAACUGUAAAUGCAAUGUAAAAUGCAUAAGAAACAGGGGAGAUUUUGAGGAGUGAGAUUUGUUUGCGUAAUUUUUUUAUGUUGUUAUUACUGAUUAAAUGAUGUGUGUGUAUUUCAGUUCAUACUGCUUAAAAUUUCUUCAUUUGAGGAUGGCGCUCCUAACAAGAUUUUCUCCAUACCCAG
rnacentral:lncRNA from 1 species